rnacentral:rRNA from 1 species
AUUGAACGCUAGCGGGAUGCCUUACACAUGCAAGUCGAACGGAGUGGCGAACGGGUGAGUAAUGUAUCGGAACGUGCCCAGUAGCGGGGGAUAACUACGCGAAAGCGUAGCUAAUACCGCAUACUAUUGGAGCGGCCGAUAGCGGAUUAGCUAGUUGGUGGGGUAAAGGCUCACCAAGGCGACGAUCCGUAGCUGGUUUGCGAGGGAGACCAGCCACGUUGGGGCUGGUAGAGGGCCCAUACUCCUACGGGAGGCAGCAGUGGGGAAUUUUGGACAAUGGGGUAAACCCUGAUCCAGCCAUCCCGCGUGUGCGAUGAAGGCCUUCGGGUUUUAAAGCACUUUUGGCAGGGAAGCGGUACCUGCAGAAUAAGCACCGGCUAACUACGUGCCAGCAGCCGCGGUAAUUC